AAACCAUGAUUUGGAGUUUUCUGCAAGUAUUCCUUGAAUCACCCCUAAGCUUCAAAUAGUUGUACACCCAAAACCUGUUUGAAAUCAUAAAUCUUAUCACGAAUUU